rnacentral:rRNA from 1 species
GAUGAACGCUGGCGGCGUGCCUAAUACAUGCAAGUCGAGCGAACAGACGAGGAGCUUGCUCCUUUGACGUUAGCGGCGGACGGGUGAGUAACACGUAGGUAACCUACCUAUAAGACUGGGAUAACUUCGGGAAACCGGAGCUAAUACCGGAUAAUAUUUCGAACCGCAUGGUUCGAUAGUGAAAGAUGGCUUUGCUAUCACUUAUAGAUGGACCUGCGCCGUAUUAGCUAGUUGGUAAGGUAACGGCUUACCAAGGCAACGAUACGUAGCCGACCUGAGAGGGUGAUCGGUCACACUGGAACUGAGACACGGUCCAGACUCCUACGGGAGGCAGCAGUAGGGAAUCUUCCGCAAUGGGCGAAAGCCUGACGGAGCAACGCCGCGUGAGUGAUGAAGGUCUUCGGAUCGUAAAACUCUGUUAUUAGGGAAGAACAAACGUGUAAGUAACUGUGCACGUCUUGACGGUACCUAAUCAGAAAGCCACGGCUAACUACGUG